AAAAUCGCGUCGCCUUUAUUUUUUAAUGUAAAAUAUGGAGUCAUUCCCGCGCUUUGCAUAAUUUAAAACAAUUGCAAAGAAGAAACCUAGUUACCAUGUUUUUAAUCUAUGUAGGAUAGUUUUAUUUUUGAAACAUUUUUAGAGGAAAAUAAGCACUAAGUUUAGAUCCGUAUAUGAAUGAGAAUGAAAAAAAUAGCUAUAAAGGCGACGUUAGUGUAUAUUUGCGUGUAUAUUGCAAGUUAAAGGCGACAAUUUUUCUAAGUUUAGGAUUUUAGAGUUUGUGCAUCGACUUCUCACGAAUCAUGCACAGAUUUGAUUGUCGAUGCAAUAGUUACUGAUUCGUUAAAGCAGGCAGCUUUUACUCGUGUUAAAGUGCCUUAAAUCCAAUAGAUAUCAUCGUUACGAUAUUACUUUGUUUGUAAAUUGUUUUAAAAAAUUUUAUGACAAAUUCAUUCAUGAUCAAAUUUAAUAUGGAGGCUGGAAAAAACAAAUGAUCGUUUAGUCUGACCAAGCUAUGCAAUAUAAUAAAAGUUUGUCCAUCAACUGCUCACGAAUCAUACACAGAGUCAAUCAUCGAUGCAAUAAGUACUGAUUCGUUAAAGCAGGCAACUUUUAGUCGUGUUAAAGUGCCUUAAAUCCAACAGAUAUCAUCUUUGUCCAUCAACUGCUCACGAAUCAUACAGAGAGUCGAUCGUCGAUGCAAUAAUUAAUAAUUUGUUAAAGCGGGCAACUUUUAGACGUUAAAGUGCCUUAAAUUUAACAGAUAUCACCGUUACGGUUUUACUUUAUUUUUAAAUUGUUUCAGAAAUUUAAUUUUAAAAGAACUUUUUAUAUUAAUUUUGUAUCUUUCUUGUUUUUCCAACCAACAGGUUCUAUCAAACUAUUUUAUAAUAGUACCAAUGGAUCUAUGAAUAUUUUAUGAAAAAGAACGUCUUUUAAACGUUUAA